UACGUAGGGGGCGAGCGUUGUCCGGAUUUAUUGGGCGUAAAGAGCUCGUAGGCGGUUCGAUAAGUCAGAUGUAAAAACUCCAGGCUCAACUUGGAGAGGCCAUCUGAUACUGUCGUGACUAGAGUCCGGUAGAGGAGCACGGAAUUCCUGGUGUAGCGGUGAAAUGCGCAGAUAUCAGGAGGAACACCAGCGGCGAAGGCGGUGCUCUGGGCCGGAACUGACGCUGAGGAGCGAAAGCGUGGGGAGCGAACAGG
rnacentral:rRNA from 1 species